AGUUUGAUCAUGGCUCAGAUUGAACGCUGGCGGCGUGCUUAACACAUGCAAGUCGAGCGGUAACGCGGGAGCAAUCCUGGCGACGAGCGGCGAACGGGUGAGUAAUGCUUGGGAAUCUGCCCAUUAGUGGGGAACAACCAGCCGAAAGGUUGGCUAAUACCGCAUACGCCCUUCGGGGGAAAGCGGGGGAUCGAAAGACCUCGCGCUAAUGGAUGAGCCCAAGUCGGAUUAGCUUGUUGGUAGGGUAACGGCCUACCAAGGCGACAAUCCGUAGCUGGUCUGAGAGGACGACCAGCCACACUGGGACUGAGACACGGCCCAGACUCCUACGGGAGGCAGCAGUGGGGAAUAUUGGACAAUGGGGGAAACCCUGAUCCAGCGACGCCGCGUGUGUGAAGAAGGCCUGCGGGUUGUAAAGCACUUUUAGUGGGGAUGAAAAGCUCAGGGAUAACACCUCUGGGUCUUGACCUAACCCACAGAAAAAGCACCGGCUAACUCUGUGCCAGCAGCCGCGGUAAUACAGAGGGUGCAAGCGUUAAUCGGAAUUACUGGGCGUAAAGCGCGCGUAGACGGUUACAUAAGUCGGGUGUGAAAGCCCCGGGCUCAACCUGGGAAUUGCAUUCGAGACUGCGUAGCUAGGGUGCGGAAGAGGGAAGCGGAAUUUCCGGUGUAGCGGUGAAAUGCGUAGAUAUCGGAAGGA
rnacentral:rRNA from 1 species